rnacentral:lncRNA from 1 species
UUUUGUGGGAGAGAAGUGUAGAGAUAUAUGAUGAGUGCAGAAAAAAACUAUUCAGAAACCAAACAAAUCCUUAUUCCUCCAUGCCUCACAUAAAAUUAUUUCCGAAAAAAAAAAAACACCUGUAAAUCUCCACACAAAUGCGUGUGGUUUGGGCCCAAUGCCAAUAUUAUACCAUUUGCCAGUACUACUGUGAGUAUAUGGUCUGCCUAGAUUCUUCAAUCACAAUGAUUUUUUUAUGCCCUCUUAUCACA